rnacentral:rRNA from 1 species
UACGUUCCCGGGUCUUGUACACACCGCCCGUCACACCAUGGGAGUUGGAAAUGCCCGAAGUCAGUGGCCAACCGUAAGGAGGGAGCUGCCGAAGGCAGGUUCGGUAACCGGGGUGAAGUCGUAACAAGGUACC